UAUAGUUGAUCUACAGUGUUCUGUCAGUUCCCGCUCUACAGCAAAGUGUUCCAGUCAUACAUUUAUAUACAUUUUUUUCCUCAUAUUAUCUUCCAUCGUGUUCUAUAUAGCACACUGGUGUCCUAGGUCCGACUGAAAAAUGUUUAUCUAUUAUGAAUACCAGACAGAAGAAAAAGAUUGUAAUUCACUGCCCUCGGCCAUUUUAACGUCUUUAUUUGAAUAAAGAUUUUCCCUUCAAAUGAGAUGCACUUAUUUUUAGCUGAACUCUAAUAACAUAGUACAUUUGAUUUGACAUCAGUUUCUUGGCUGCCGUUUUCUCUAAUAAAUUUAUGUUUGUUUCUAAAAGUAUAAAAGCAGCAGAGAUUGAUACCAGGGCCUGUGGUUUUAAAUAAACGAAAUGUGCUUCCUUUCUCUUGCUUCCGAUCCUAAAAGCCAACUAAAUAGUAGGAUUGUCAAGACUUAAUCUGUGGAGGGAUUGGGGUGCAGCGGGGUGGGAUGGGGCAGUGAGGGGGAAGCUUAAGAGCCUGCUUGUUGGAUGUUUUCAACUUUACAAAGACCCAAAGUAACUGCUAACAGAGGAAAGCGGCAUUCGGACGUUUGCUCAAGCAGUCCUCAGAGUUCCCCCACACAGCUCUCUCCAGCAGCAUGUGCCGCGGCCUCCGGCCUCCGGUGCGCUGGAUGCGGGUUAGGAAGCAGAGGCCCCAGGGAUGAAGGGAGGUUGCGCCGGGACCUGGGCUGAAUGUUCUCCUGACCGCUGCCCGAUCUUUCUCAGGAUCUGCUCCCUGAUGGUCGAAACCCUUCUCUGCCGGCAGAUCCAACGUAACUUCAUCCGGCAAAGGGCACAGUGUGCCACAACUUAGUGACCUGAAAACAGCUCAUAGUCCAGAACCUCUUAGACUAAUCUAGCCUCUGGAUUUAGCAAAACUCAUCUUCAUUUGCUCACCACGGGAUGGGCCAUUUCUCAUGAAGAGCCCUGGAGGCCAUGUAAAGCAUUGAGGUUCUGAUUUGUCGGUAGCUUCCAUUUUCUGGCUGUUUAGAAAAUCGUAGUUAAAACUAUCAUUUUCUUCCCCCGAGGCGAAAAGUGAAAAUAAAGUAAACUUUGUAGAAUACGCGUGAUCAUCUUGAUUACUGUGUCUGUGAACUAUUGUAUUAAAGGCUCAGAUCAAGGAGUUCCUGCUGUGUUUCAGCAGGUUAUGGACCCGACUAGUAUCCAUGAGGAUGUGGGUUCCAGCCCUGGCCUCCCUCAGUGGGUUGGGGACCCAGCACAGCCAUGAGCUGUGGUGUAGGUUGCAGACCCGGCUUGGAUCUGGCAUUGCUCUCGGUGUGGCAUAGACUGGCAGCUACAGCUCCAAUUUGACGCCUAGCUUGGGAGUGCCAUGGGUGUAGCCCUAACAAUCAAGGAAAAAAAAAAAAAGGACUCAGAUCAAUAUUAAUAUUUAUUGUUCAAGGUUGCAUAUCUGAAAAUUGUGGAAAUGAGAAAUUUUUUCUCUGUUUACUCAAUACAGUGCUGGGCAAGGGAUAUCUGUGUACAAAUUGAACCUAAUUGGCUAAUCCAAGUUUAGGCUCCAGUUCCUGAAACAGUAUUAUGCUAAUUUCUUGCAUUCGUUCCUCUAACUUUCCCUCCCAAAUUCACUUACUAUGUCAGCAACCAUAGAAACAAAACCUUUCUAGUUUGGCAAAUGAUUCUUGUGUUGAUUUUAAGUUAGAGCUUUAUCUUCUCCCCUUGUAGCUGGAGUGAGUUAUUCCCAUAGUCAUUUUUCCUAGAAUGUUGAUAGAGGUAGCUAUGUUGCUUAAAGCUCUCAAAAUAUAAGGGCAUUGCAGUAACACAAAUUAUUAGUAGU
rnacentral:lncRNA from 1 species